AAGUCGUAACAAGGUUUCCGUAGGUGAACCUGCGGAAGGAUCAUUAAUGAGUUAUGUUCUUUAUUGAACAAUCAUCUCUAAACACAUCUGUGAACCCUCUUUUUCUCUGGUUCUUUAUUGAAUUGGAAAAAAGGCACAAACAUUUUUUUAAAUGCUUAAUUUUUUUUUUACUACAGUCUGAAUGAAAAAUCAAACAAACAAAUUAAAACUUUCAACAACGGAUCUCUUGGUUCUC
rnacentral:misc_RNA from 1 species